AACAAACGCUGGCGGCGUGCCUAAUACAUGCAAGUCGAACGGGGAAAGUAGCAAUAUGAGUACUAGUGGCGCACGGGUGAGCAACGCGUGGGUAAUCUGCCUUAGAGUGGGGGAUAACCAGUCGAAAGAUUGGCUAAUACCGCAUAAGACCACAGGAUCUGCGGAUCUAGGGGUAAAAGGUUUUUCGCUCUAAGAUGAGCCCGCGUGAGAUUAGCUAGUUGGUAGGGUAACGGCCUACCAAGGCGACGAUCUCUAGCUGGUCUGAGAGGAUGAUCAGCCACACUGGAACUGAGACACGGUCCAGACUCCUACGGGAGGCAGCAGUAGGGAAUAUUGCACAAUGGAGGAAACUCUGAUGCAGCGACGCCGCGUGAGUGAUGAAGGACUUCGGUUCGUAAAGCUCUGUCGUACGGGAAUAAGAAAGUGAAUGUACCGUGCAAGAAAGGAUCGGCUAACUUCGUGCCAGCCGCCGCGGUAA
rnacentral:rRNA from 1 species